AUGAGUUUCAAUGGGGCGCCAACACCUGCCAGGUUCUGUGAGAUGCUGAGGCUACGAAGAUCAAGGUAUUUGGCUGCUGUUGGACUCAAGGUUCCCAAAUGCAGUGACUGGUUGUGUUUGUUGGACAUGGGAAUUCACCCCUACAUGAGACUCAGAGGGAUACAGUUUAUGAGAAAUUCCUCUGAUAAAAGUCAAGGCUCCUUCAAGCUGAUUAGUAUAUGUCCUAAAUUCUCCAGCCAUCCCCCAAACCAAGGCGGCUCAGUGCAGGAGAUAGGUCUCAGGUGAGCGGGAGAGCCUUCCGCAGGGGGGCUCGGAAGACCACGACUGGAAGAGGAAGCUGCCUCCCACGGAAGCCACCGCCUUGUGCAGGGAGCCGUGGGCCUGUCGAGGACACCCCAGGACCGCUAACCCUACUUCUUGGUUGACUUUGCACCUGAGCGCUGCCCACACCCACCAACUCUGAGCUCCUGGGAGAGGCCGGGAGACGCUGCCGGGGGCCGUGAGUCACGAGUGUAAAGUACGCCCAGGGCCUGGCAGGCAGGUCUGUGCCAGGGUAAGGUGUCAUCAGGUGAAGCCACAAAGGCUGUUUUCCUGGAGCCCCUGAGAUAAAAGAUCCAUCGCCUUUUCUCUCUCCCGCCUCUCGGGGCUUGGGGGCUGCAGGUCCCCGGACAGCGGGGUGGGGGCGUGAACGCGAGUGCGCGCGUGUGCAUGUGUGUGUGUGCGCGCGCCCGCGCGCGGCCUUCCGGCAGCUGUCCCGGCCCC
rnacentral:lncRNA from 1 species